rnacentral:rRNA from 1 species
AGCGAACGCUGGCGGCAGGCCUAACACAUGCAAGUCGAACGAAGUCUUCGGACUUAGUGGCGGACGGGUGAGUAACACGUGGGAACGUGCCUUUAGGUUCGGAAUAACUCAGGGAAACUUGUGCUAAUACCGAAUGUGCCCUUCGGGGGAAAGAUUUAUCGCCUUUAGAGCGGCCCGCGUCUGAUUAGCUAGUUGGUGAGGUAAAGGCUUACCAAGGCUACGAUCAGUAGCUGGUCUGAGAGGAUGACCAGCCACAUUGGGACUGAGACACGGCCCAAACUCCUACGGGAGGCAGCAGUGGGGAAUCUUGCGCAAUGGGCGAAAGCCUGACGCAGCCAUGCCGCGUGGAUGAUGAAGGUCUUAGGAUUGUAAAAUCCUUUCACCGGUGGAGAUAAUGACUGUAGCCGGAGAAGAAGCCCCGGCUAACUUCGUGCCAGCCGCCGCAGUAAGAC